AUUUCCCAUUUCUUCGGAAAGUAAGAUCCCUGAAAGAUGAUCAGGUAGAUAGGUUUGGAGUGGAAGUGUAGCGAUACAUGGAGCGGACAAAUACUAAUCGAUCGAGGACUUAACCAAAA
rnacentral:rRNA from 2 species